rnacentral:rRNA from 1 species
GCCCAGAGAGGGGUCUGUGCCCUAUCAGCUAGUUGGUGAGGUAACGGCCCACCAAGGCGAUGACGGGUAGCCGGCCUGAGAGGGUGGUCGGCCACAUUGGGACUGAGACACUGCCCAGACUCCUACGGGAGGCUGCAGUCGAGGAUCUUUCGCAAUGCCCGAAAGGGUGACGAAGCGACGCCGCGUGGGGGAAGAAGGCCUUCGGGUUGUAAACCCCUGUCAGGAGUUAGGAAGUGCAGGGCGUGAAUAGCGUCCUGCUUGACUAAGGCUCAGGAGGAAGUCAUGGCUAACUCUGUGCCAGCAGCCGCGGUAAUACAGAGAUGGCAAGCGUUGUUCGGAAUCACUGGGCGUAAAGGGCACGUAGGCGGUCUAGCAAGUCGGGUGUGAAAGCCCCUGGCUCAAACAGGGAACUGCGCUCGAAACUACAAGACUUGAGGAUGGAAGGG